UCCUGUCACUGUUUUAUUUAAAAUUUAAUGCUUUUUAUGUUACUUCAUUGGCCAUGGGGUGUAAAAGUGUAGACCGAAUUACAUUUUGUGUGAAGCACUGAACAAUGUUUUGUUUGAAUUACCUCCAUUACACUGCUUUUAAAUAGUGUUUUGUAAUUGUCCAUUAACCAGGACACCCUUGGUUUGAGCCAUAAUCCCAAAAGCCAAUUCUAUCCAACCUUUGUGGUAUAAUUUCAGAGAGAUCCAUACACCAUUCCACAAGUUAUUCAACUUAUUCUCAGGAAACUAAAAACUUGCUUAUUUGGGGCCCUUAUUCCUAAACUGUUUGGACCAUAACCUCCAAAACCAAUCCAAACCUUCCAUUUGUGGUCAAAAUCCUUGAGUUUCUAAUUACUUGUACCAUAUUAUUGUCCGGAAACUAAAUUUCUUCGGAUGAUGACAACGACAGCCAUUUGACAAUGUUAUAAAAAGAAGAACUAGAUUUGCCAUUGCAAGCAAUAGCGGACCCC
rnacentral:lncRNA from 1 species